AUUGAACGCUGGCGGCAUGCUUUACACAUGCAAGUCGGACGGCAGCACAGAGAAGCUUGCUUCUUGGGUAGCGAGUGGCGAACGGGUGAGUAAUAUAUCGGAACGUACCGAGUAAUGGGGGAUAACUAAUCGAAAGAUUAGCUAAUACCGCAUAUUCUCUGAGGAGGAAAGCAGGGGACCUUCGGGCCUUGCGUUAUUCGAGCGGCCGAUAUCUGAAUAGCUUGUUGGUGGGGUAAAGGCCUACCCAGGCGACGAUCAGUAGCGGGUCUGAGAGGAUGAUCCGCCAAACUGGGACUGAGCAACGGCCCAGACUCCUACGGGAGGCAGCAGUGGGGAAUUUUGGACAACGGGAGGAAGCCUGAUCGAGCCAUGCCGAGUGUCUGAAGAAGGCCUUCGGGUUGUAAAGGACUUUUGUCAGGGAAGAAAAGGCUGUGGCUAAUAUCAAUAGAUGAUGACGGUACCUGAAGAAUAAGCACCGGCUAACUACGUG
rnacentral:rRNA from 1 species